GAUGAACGCUGGCGGCGUGCCUAAUACAUGCAAGUCGAACGGACGGACGAGAAGCUUGCUUCUCUGAUGUUAGCGGCGGACGGGCGAGUAACACGUGGAUAACCUACCUAUAAUACUGGGAGAAUUACGUGAAAACGGAGCUAAUAACGGAUAAUAUUUUGAACCGCAGGGUUCAAGAGAGAAAGACAGUCUUGCUGUCUCUAUUAGAUGGAUCCGCGCUGCAUUAGCUAGUUGGUAAGGUAACGGCUUACCAAGGCAACGAUGCGUAGCCGAACUGAGAGGGUGAUCGGCCACACUGGAACUGAGACACGGUCCAGACUCCUACGGGAGGCAGCAGUAGGGAAUCUUCCGCAAUGGGCGAAAGCCUGACGGAGCAACGCCGCGUGAGUGAUGAAGGUCUUCGGAUCGUAAAGCUCUGUUAUUAGGGAAGAACAUAUGUGUAAGUAACUGUGCACAUCUUGACGGUACCUAAUCAGAAAGCCACGGCUAACUACGUG
rnacentral:rRNA from 1 species